UACGUAGGGUGCAAGCGUUAAUCGGAAUUACUGGGCGUAAAGCGUGCGCAGGCGGCUUUGCAAGACAGAUGGGAAAUCCCCGGGCUUAACCUGGGAACUGCAUUUGUGACUGCAUGGCUGGAGUGCGGCAGAGGGGGAUGGAAUUCCGCGUGUAGCAGUGAAAUGCGUAGAUAUGCGGAGGAACACCGAUGGCGAAGGCAGUCCCCUGGGCCUGCACUGACGCUCAUGCACGAAAGCGUGGGGAGCAAACAGG
rnacentral:rRNA from 1 species